GAUGAACGCUGGCGGCGUGCCUAAUACAUGCAAGUCGAGCGAACGGACGAGAAGCUUGCUUUUCUGAUGUUAGCGGCGGACGGGUGAGUAACACGUGGAUAACCUACCUAUAAGACUGGGAUAACUUCGGGAAACCGGAGCUAAUACCGGAUAAUAUUUUGAACCGCAUGGUUCAUAAGUGAAAGACGGUCUUGCUGUCACUUAUAGAUGGAUCCGCGCUGCAUUAGCUAGUUGGUAAGGUAACGGCUUACCAAGGCAACGUUGCAUAGCCGACCUGAGAGGGUGAUCGGCCACACUGGAACUGAGACACGGUCCAGACUCCUACGGGAGGCAGCAGUAGGGAAUCUUCCGCAAUGGGCGAAAGCCUGACGGAGCAACGCCGCGUGAGUGAUGAAGGUCUUCGGAUCGUAAAACUCUGUUAUUAGGGAAGAACAUAUGUGUAAGUAACUGUGCACAUCUUGACGGUACCUAAUCAGAAAGCCACGGCUAACUACGUG
rnacentral:rRNA from 1 species